CACGUAGGGCGCAAGCGUUGUCCGGAAUUAUUGGGCGUAAAGAGCUCGUAGGCGGUCUGUCGCGUCUGCUGUGAAAUCUCAGGGCUUAACCCUGAGCUUGCAGUGGGUACGGGCAGACUAGAGUGCGGUAGGGGAGACUGGAAUUCCUGGUGUAGCGGUGAAAUGCGCAGAUAUCAGGAGGAACACCGGUGGCGAAGGCGGGUCUCUGGGCCGUAACUGACGCUGAGGAGCGAAAGCAUGGGGAGCGAACAGG
rnacentral:rRNA from 1 species